rnacentral:lncRNA from 1 species
UGUGAAGCUUUUGAGAAUUUGUGGUUGAACUCCUUUGAUGAAGCUCUUGUUGGCACCAUAAAUUGGUUUUGCUUCACACUGUCUUGAUCAAGAGUGUGUUAAGCUUUUGAGAAUUGUGGUUGCCCUCCAUUGAUGAAGCUCUUGUUGGCACCAUAAAUUGGUUUUGCUUCACACUGUCUUGAUCAAGAGUGUGUGAAGCUUUUAAGAAUUGUGGUUGCCUUCCAUUGAUGAAGCUCUUGUUGGAACCAUAAAUUGGUUUUGCUUCACACUAUCUUGAUCAAGAGUGUGUGAAGCUUUUGAAAAUUAUGGUUUCCCUCCAUUGAUGAAGCUCUUGUUGGCACCUUAAAUUGAUGAAGCUAAUGUGUUCACCUCCUCCUUUUUUUUUUUAGGGGGAGAGUGGGUGCUGCAAGUUUGAAAUUUGAAAACUCCCUAGCUUGUGUGGAAGUUU